rnacentral:rRNA from 1 species
UAGGGAAUCUUCCGCAAUGGACGCAAGUCUGACGGAGCAACGCCGCGUGAGUGAAGAAGGUUUUCGGGUCGUAAAACUCUGUUGUUAGAGAAGAACAAGUGCUAGAGUAACUGUUAGCGCCUUGACGGUAUUUAACCNGAAAGCCACGGCUAANUACGUGCCAGCAGCCGCGGUAAUACGUAGGUGGCAAGCGUUGUCCGGAUUUAUUGGGCGUAAAGCGAGCGCAGGCGGUUCCUUAAGUUUGAUGUGAAAGCCCCCGGCUCAACCGGGGAGGGUCAUUGGAAACUGGGGAACUUGAGUGCAGAAGAGGAGAGUGGAAUUCCAUGUGUAGCGGUGAAAUGCGUAGAUAUAUGGAGGAACACCAGUGGCGAAGGCGACUCUCUGGCCUGUAACUGACGCUGAGGCUCGAAAGCGUGGGUAGCAAACAGGAUUAGAUACCCUGGUAGUCCACGCCGUAAACGAUGAGUGCUAAGUGUUGGAGGGUUUCCGCCCUUCAGUGCUGCAGUUAACGCAUUAAGCACUCCGCCUGGGGAGUACGACCGCAAGGNNG